CCUACGGGGGGCAGCAGUGGGGAAUAUUGCGCAAUGGGCGGAAGCCUGACGCAGCGACGCCGCGUGGGGGAUGACGGCCUUCGGGUUGUAAACCUCUUUCGACCUCGACGAAGCGUGAGUGACGGUAGGGGUAGAAGAAGCACCGGCUAACUACGUGCCAGCAGCCGCGGUAAUACGUAGGGUGCGAGCGUUGUCCGGAAUUAUUGGGCGUAAAGAGCUCGUAGGCGGUCUGUCGCGUCGGUCGUGAAAACUUGGGGCUUAACUCUGAGCUUGCG
rnacentral:rRNA from 1 species